rnacentral:rRNA from 1 species
CACGCCUGCCUGGGUGUCGCCCGUCGUUGCCCCAGUUCCUUGGCCUCGUGCUAGGGACCGAGCUGGGCGAAUGCUGGCUUCCCGCGAGCAACGCCUCACGGUUGGUUGAAAACUGAGUCCGUGGUGGAGGGCGCCGUGACGGAUGGUGGUUGAG